AUUGAACGCUGGCGGCAGGCCUAACACAUGCAAGUCGAACGGUAACAGGAAACAGCUUGCUGUUUCGCUGACGAGUGGCGGACGGGUGAGUAAUGUCUGGGAAACUGCCUGAUGGAGGGGGAUAACUACUGGAAACGGUAGCUAAUACCGCAUAACGUCGCAAGACCAAAGAGGGGAACCUUCGGGCCUCUUGCCAUCGGAUGUGCCCAGAUGGGAUUAGCUAGUAGGUGGGGUAACGGCUCACCUAGGCGACGAUCCCUAGCUGGUCUGAGAGGAUGACCAGCCACACUGGAACUGAGACACGGUCCAGACUCCUACGGGAGGCAGCAGUGGGGAAUAUUGCACAAUGGGCGCAAGCCUGAUGCAGCCAUGCCGCGUGUAUGAAGAAGGCCUUCGGGUUGUAAAGUACUUUCAGCGGGGAGGAAGGGAGUAAAGUUAAUACCUUUACUCAUUGACGUUACCCGCAGAAGAAGCACCGGCUAACUCCGUG
rnacentral:rRNA from 1 species